UGAGAAGCUCUGCCUGCCACAGAACAUGUAGGUUCCCCACACGGUUCCAGUUUACUCUGACACUGCUGUGGCCCCAAAAGACUCAGCUGCCAAGAACUGUAUCAAAACCAGAAUUUUCAAGAUGAGCGGAGUUGGGAGUCUUCCCAAUCCUGUGACCAGCACAGAGCUCUCAGUCGGUCAUCUGAUGACAAGGAGAUGAGGAAUUAUGUGUCCCCAAGUAUUUCAUCUUCCAAUUGAUUUUUAAAACUGAGAAAUCUUCAUUGUGCAGGGGAAUACAAACAGGACAGAGAAGUGACAGUGGUGACAGUUGGUUAUUGAAGUCACCAUAGAAACCCACAAACACAGUCUCACGCAUGUGCACUCACACACACACACACCACACACAAAUGCCCCACACGGUGUUUUCUCAGAACCGCUGUCUUUUAAAAUCCAGAGGACCAAAAGCGUAUUUUAAAAUGACCCACAUACAGUGCAACUGAAAGCACCAAUCAUCAGGACAAACACGUGACAGGAAGGGCACAGGGUUGCGAAGUUAAAAGUAAAGAAAUGGAUUUCACCUCUGACUUCCAGGACCCUGUCUCUAAAAUUUUGCUUGUCUGCUAGGCUACCCAGCCUGCCGGCGGGCCAGACAGCAGCAGCGGAUUAUAGUUUUCUCUCCUAUUUCCAGAUACCGGCUUUUCGUGAAGUCACUGGCUCUAUAAUGCGGUUACUCCUGGGUACCUUUUCACUCCCUCUGUCCUAGAGGUUUCUGCUGCCUGGAGGGGACCUGGAGGUCAGCCAGCUGGGCAGGAAGGCACUUCUGUAUCAGGCCUCUUCAACUCCUUCAGUGAUAAGGAAGGGCCCAAGACAUCCGUGUCCCCAGACACUGAGUUUGGAGACAAUCUGGUUCAUGGCUGGGCAUAGUCAGACAAACUCUGAGGUUGAGCUGUGUUUUACUGCCUGGCGUAGCCACACACCAGCAGACCUUGACAGGUUUCCUCAGGAACUGGCAGGGACCUGGAGCCCUUCCCACACACCAGCUGUCAGCUCCCAGGACUGGCAGGUUCCUAGAGAUGCAGACAGGACACUGAGUGCUUUGGGGCCAGCCAGACAUGCAGCAGACAGCCAAGGGAUGGCAGCACCCGCAGCCAGCCGUGACCCUUUUCUGGGCCCUGUCCAGCCCCCGGGGGGCUGUCAGACUGGGAGAGGAUGAACAGGGGGGAGGCUUAGCUCCUGAUUCCCUGGCCUUACUCUCUGACCUCACCACCUUGCCUUGGGUUGGUUCUGAACUCGCACAAGUGGUCGGCACUUGGUAGAAGAGGAGACAGAUGGGGAACCCCCGCCCACUCUGCCUUUUUCCUGUGCUCCUCCUGAUCCCAGGACAGACCUGGACUUAAGUCAGCUUCCGCUGAGGUGCCUGUGGAAUGUUACCGUUGAAAUGGAGCUUACAAGUUCUAGUCCAGUGGAUUUCGAGCCUCUUCAAAUCUCAAAAUCCUUGGUAAACAAGCCUGAGAAAAGCAAACCAGCUGUGGCUAAGUUGGGGUGGGAGGCCCAGAGCCGCCCUGACCCCCAGCACCUGCUAGAGUCCAUCGGGGACAUUUUGACCCGCAGGACAUUUUGAAAGUCACAAGUCUAGUCCAGCGCCCUAGUCAAGCAGGGACCAUCUCCACAGCAUCUCUGUAAUCCUGGAAAGCAGGGAGAUUGCUAGCUCACAAAACAGCCAAUUCCAAAGCUGGGUGGUAUUUUCGGUCAGAAUGUUUUGCCAGAUGCUGAGCACGCCUAACUUCCUACAGAUUUUUCCAGUUUGACCAGCUCCCAUAGUUUAGGUGUGGCCGUGGAGGGUUGCUCAUCUAUCAUGAGCUAAGAACAGUCCCUUCCCUUGAUGUGAGCAUCGAUAUGUUCGUCACGAACGAUUUCAUUCGAUCUUUACAACACUGUAAGUAUUAGUGACCCAUUUUAUGAUUAGGGACAUGGAGGUACAGAGAAGCUUAAGCAGUUGGCCCGCAGUCACACAACUAUACAUGAGGAAGCAGAAUUUGAACCAGGUCUAUCUGACACAACAGCACGGGUCCUUUUCACUAUGCUACUCUGCCUCUCUGGUGAGGCAGGGGUCAGAAUAGGACACAGGUGCAGGAGCCCGCUCUCCGCACAGCCCUGUCCCCUGCCCUCUUGGGACUUCACAUUUGUUGGUAAACAACCAAGUCAGCAGAGCACUGUUUUCCAGAGCCUUGGACGUUCCAGAGCACAUGUGAAACUCCCCUUGCUCCUGAUAGGAACGGAGUCCCAGAGACGUGGUCGCUUAAGACAGAGCCAGAACCAACACCCCCCCCACUGCUGCCUGGGCUUCUUCACCCACCAUCAUGCCGCCUUCAGUUGGUUUCUAGUGAAGGACAGGCCUUCACAGAAGAAGAGCCCCUCUCCGAGGGGCGGCGAGGUGCUGCGAGGUGCUGCGGUCCCCCCACCACUCACCAUUCGAUGAAUGUACUUAGUAUGUAAGCCAUGCUCAUCCUCGUCCAGCUGUGAUUCGGCACCUUCCACAUCCUGUUUGUAUUUGGGGCUGAUUGCUACAAUUAUCAUCACUGUCUUCUGUUAAUGAGAGAGAAAGCAUGUUUAUGGAAGUGUAAAGUGUGGUCCAUUUGGGAAAGGCAGGCUGGAAACCGGCCGGCAGGACUGUAAGCGUCGUGACAUGCUCCAGAGUGGAGGGCCUGGCUCGUUCUCUGCCCAGGGUGAAAGGCACUGGCCUCCACUCCAACAGGCUCCUGUCUCCCCUUCUCCCCUCCGUCUCCCUCCCGGCUCCCUUGAAAUGCAGAGCAAAUGGCUCUGUGAGGAGCUCUCCUAAAUGGAGGCGGUUUUGCCCACCAUUGUCCACAACCAUCACUAAUAAACGUCUAAUGAAAGCCGGAAUCGCUAAGUGACUAUGCAUCGUGGCAAAAAGGCUCCGGAACAUCACCAAUGAAAAGCCCCCUCCCUCCGGCAGCUGGGUGUAAGCUGUCAGUUACUGCACUCUUGACUGCCCUGCGUGCCACGAGCGCUUACGAGUCAGCACAGCCAGGAGGAGCAGCCCCUUCAACACAAAGCAAACAUCAGGCUGCAGACAAAAGGAAAAGCCACAAAACCCCAGCCUGCUGAGACUCUCUCCCCCACCGCUCUCUCCAAAAGAAGCAGCUGAAGCAGCCGACACGGACACACUGGCAGCAAUCAAUUUCUAUCUUGUUAAAGCACAAAGUGUCCCAGUGGUCUCUACCAAAGUCCACAGCAUCUGUCAGGCCAACUUUUCCACACAGCCGCUGUUAAAGGCCACAUUGUUUCCCCCAAAACUCACAUGUUGAAGUCUUAACCUCCACUGACUCAAUGUGACUAUAUUUGGAGAUAGAGCCUUGAGAGAGGUGAUUAAGGUAAAAUGGGGUCAUGUGGAUGGGCUCUGAUCUAAUAGGACUGGUGUCCUUAGAAGAGAUUAGGACACACAGAGGGAAGACUGGUGGAGACACAGGAAGAAGACGGCCACCUGCAAACCAAGGAAGAGGCCCGUAAUGAAACCAGUCUUGCCGACACCUUUAUCUUGGACAUCCAGACUCCAGAACUAUGAGGAAAUAAAUUUCUUUUGCUUAAGCAUGUGGUACUUCAUGGCAGCCCUAGCAACCCAUACGGCCUCCCUCUUCAGGUUGCCAUAGCCACUGUUCCCUUGCCUCUUUAGACUUAAGGGUGGUGGCAACUUCCUGCUGUUGCUGUAGGCCCAGGAUAUGCUCUGCUCCCUGAGGAUUUCUUAAAAUUUACCUAGAACUUUGAAAAUAGUCCUUUCGGGGUGCCUGGGUGGCUCCGUCGGUUAAGCGUCCGACUUUGGCUCAGGUCAUGAUCUCACAGUUCGUGAGUUCGAGCCCUGCGUCGGGCUCUGGGCUGACGGCUCAGAGCCUAGAGCCUGCUUCACAUUCUGUGUCUCCCUCUCUCUCUGCCCCUUCCUUGCUCAUGCUGUGUCUCUCUCUGUCUCAAAACUAAAUAAACAUUUUUAAAAAAAUUAAAAAAAAAAAAAGAAAAUAGUCCUUUCAUUAAACUUUCCUUAAAUUACCCAUUAAGUGUUUUUCUCCACUAAGGGACUCUUGAUAUAUCAAUAUAGUAACUUAGCUGUCCAGGAUGGGGCUCUGUGAUUCUAAUACAAGGUUUCAUGGUGAUACAAAUUAAGGACAGAUUUAAAUUCCGUCUAAGGCGUCCCUGACUCUUAAGUUCAUAAAAACCUGUCCUCUUCUCCAAGGGCAAUCAGUAUGCUUUUUUGGAAAUGACCAAAAGUAAGAUCUUUUCUGCAAAUGUUGGCCUUAGGACCUGUAAUUUGAUUUUACAUCCUGGUUGCCGCAGUGCUUUCUUUCUCUAGAAACGAGAAAUUGAAAUGUUGGCUUCUAUACAGUCACUUAAGUUGGAAUGUAUAAAUUGUAUCCAUUUUUAACCUUGUAGAUGCUCCUAUUAAAAAAAUUAUAGAAUAAAGAGAAAUUCAAUAAAAACUGUUAAAUAACGCUAAGUAAUGUUUAAAAUUGACAUUUAGUUGCCAAGUAUUCUCUUUUUAUCCUUCCACAUUCCUAUUCAUAGAUAUUUUCCUUAAUUUUUCAGCACUGUCUAGAAUUUACUAUCACUCAAUACCCAAAGGGGGCCUCUGGGAAGGAAGAGAAGUGAGCUCAGUGUUUUAGGAAAGCCAGUCCUUUGAGUCGCCUCCUGUGGUAUUUUGUUUAUCCUACAGAAGAACUUACAUGACUUUAAGCUGUGCUGUUGGAAGGCACUGCAGGGAAACUUGAGGAGUGUGUGCUUCCUGAGAUUUCUUGGGCCAAGGUCACAGUGAACUGCAGGGCUGGGUUGUCUACCUCCCCUAGAACUAGACGAGACCAGCUGAGAAUCAGGCCAUGUAUUCCCUGCCCAGAGGGGCUGCUGCUGCAUCAAGAUGUGGAAGGCAGCUGUGCACAGUGGGCCUUGACCUCAGACCUUACAGCCUAGUGCCCUACAGAAGGGCCUUGUACAAUAAGCAGGUGGCCUGGUUAAGCCUGAGGCCUCCUGCAUCACAGGAAACACAACCAAAGCAGGCUUGCUUGGUGAAAAAAAAAAGAAAAAGAAAAAAAGGGCAAAGGUAGAAGUGCAUUAAGAGCCUGGCAUUUCCUUUGGGUUGGGGGCCAAGCUGCGUCUGUGGUCAGCGCUGACUACCACCGUUCCGGCUGUUCAGAGGUUCUCAGGGUCACUCCAAAAGCACACAGGAAGUAACUGCUGGAGACUCUGGAGAGUUUAAAAUCUAGAAAAUAAUUACCUACAUCUAUAAGCGUUUAGCUCCUAAUCACGUAACUCAGAUAAUAUAGUUUAAAACGUCAACAGCUAUUUUGUUUUGCUUCUCAUUGUACUUGCUUUAUUAUUUUUUUAAGUUUAUUUAUUUCUGAGAGAGCGCAAGCGCAUGCACACACAUGAGUGGGGGAGGGGCAGAGAGAGAGGGAGACACAGAAUCUGAAGCAGGCUCCAGGCUCUGAGCUGUCUGCACAGAGCCUGACACAAUGCUCGAACUCACGAACCAUGAGAUCAUGUCCUGAGCCUAAGCUGGAUGCUUAACUGACUGAGCCCUCCCCAGCUGCCCCUCAUUGUACUCACAAGUCUUCUCUUUGGAGAAAAUACUUACUGCAGUUUGGAAGCCAUUUACCAACAAAAAGUUCACGAAUUUCACCACCUCCGUGGCUGUGUCCAUAGAAUAGGUGAUAAAGACUUUCCCUAAGAGAGAGUUUUCACAUUUAUUAGAAACUAGUCAAAUCAUUCUAUUCUGAACACUUGUAAAUUGUAUGCAAUGUUUCUUGUCUUUUUAGACUUAUAAAGUGAAACUUUAUCUGGGGUUGGUCUGAGGGCUUAUGCCUGCAGCUGUGUGCAUCACUAGGCCCCAAGGGGCGGCAGGGGUCUGUCCGAGGGGCUGCAGACUGCCCAGUGUGCAUGGGAAGAACAGUGCUGGUGGCCUGAGCCCAGCCAAGGAGGUCUGCUGAAAAAUCACACGAUGCAUUAACAACAUCUAUCACCCAGAACCUGAGGGGCCUUAAGAUCAGGCCACCUCCUGGUUUCUUAGAGACACUUGGCACUGUGCCUGAGGAAUACUCUCACAGCAGGCCAAGAAGCUGAACCUUGCUAAGGGGCCACCCAGCAGUGUCCUCUUUUGAUCUCAUGAUGCUCUCUGCUCCCCGAGCUCUUGCUCAACAAAAGCAAAUGGGGGGAGAGGGAGCAGGUGGUUCCCUACCACCUCCUUCCCCUUACCACUCACUGCUGGGAGAAACGCCAGGAAAUGAGGGUACACCAAAGCAUGGAUCGGGAAUGUUAGUAGGAACUUCAGCAGCUUGAAGGACAGAUUCCACCUCUGGGCAUCCAGUGUCACUUAUUCUCUGGCUCCUCCCUGGGUCAGCCUGGAGCAACAGAUGGCAUUGUGCCCACAGACCUGACCCAGUCAGGAUGGCAAGCCAAUGUUUUAUCAGGCUAAAAUCUUGGGGAAAUUUCUGGGUAGCAUGUUAAUGUGAUAGAUGAAUAAUCUCUGUGUGCUGGCUUUUAGUCUGGAAGAGACAAGCUCAAUAUCAGGAAGUCCCUGGGGCAGGAGAUGGAGAAGAAAGGAAAGUUGGAGAGAAAAUAUGAGUUUGUAUGUAUUCAUCUAUGCUUGGGCUCUGGACUUUUGAAACAAAGAUCUCAAAUAGAAGCGUGUACAAUGCUCAUACUGACUCAUUUAAGCAGCCCGACAUAUCGAUGGCCCUCAAUGUAUUCUUAACACCUAAUAUUCAACCAAUUCCUAGUUAAGAAUUUCCAGACUCCUUUAUAGAUUAUGGUAAGACAAAUAUGAUCUAUAGAUUGACAUGAGGGUUAUAUCCUAUGCAGGACAGCAUCCAUUCUCCACAAGUGCUCAAGAUUAAAAUGUAUAAGAUUUUGAAAAGAUUAAAAAAUUUUUUUUGGAUGAUAAACAACAAUGGAUCCUUACCAUAGAUAUCUUCCAGAGCCCUAAAUGACUAAUGAGCACAGAUUCCCCCGAUAAGAGUUAGCAAAUGCAGAAGGCUUAAUUUUCAAGUUUGGUUCAAAAAAGCACCCAGGUUUCUAAAGGGCUUAUUAGAAUUACCUGAACUUCUCUAGCAAGCACAACAGAAUAUAACAAUUUCACAAGUAGUGGCUGUUUUCAUAAGAUUUCUGGAACUUACUGUCCUGACUGACCUUAAUAUGAGAACAUUUUGGUGAUAUUUCAACAUUUCUGGUUCUGGCUGCAAAAUCUGGAAAGAGAAUCAUCACCUGACACUUAGUCGAAUGUUUCUUUAAAUAAAAGGCUUGGUUUGCAUUGGUUGUAAAACAGUAUGGAGAAUGUGAGACCGCUUUUUCCAAACAAGAUUGCUCAUUCCUACAGGAAAUGACCUCGUUCCUGAUGGCUGUUGCUAAUUUAUGGUGAAACACUAGGUCCCUGGCCAAUACCACAUGGACAUCCAAUUAAUUUACCCAGGGACAAGUCCACUCAAGAGCAUCAUUCAGAAGAGAGAAGCGUUGGAGUUAUUUGUUGUUGGAGUAUAUGUUUAAGAAAAUCUAAUGCUGUGAAAUUGGAUAUGCCACACAACAUGCUCUUCGGCUGGUCAGGAAACAAAGAAUUUAAACUUCAUGAGGAUGUGAUUUUUGACUGUUGGGCUCAUGGCUAUCUUCUCACCAUCUAGAGCUGUUCCUGGCACAUAAAUAUUUAUGGACUGAAUAAGUGAUGGAUGCCUGUUUUUGGAAAGAGUACAGAUCUGUGUGGCUGGAAGGAUCACUGACAGUGAGAACAUCAGGCACCAUGGGCUUCUCACAUGAUAUCCACAUGGUUACAUGGCCUGUGCUCCAGUCCCCAACAGGGGGUGGCACUUGGAGUGAAAUGGAAAAACCUCUGUGUCCUACCACUGUUCUAGAGGAGAAGGCUCUGACUCCCCAGAGGGACAGAAGAGCUGCCAGCCAGGACCCUGCAAGCCUGAGUGGCAAUGCCCCGGAUAGAUGCUCGUGGACAUCCUGUCCAACUCAGCAAGCCUGGGGGAAGCUGGGACUGGUCAGCCGGUCAGCCAGAAGGAUAAUGGUCAAGUCUACCUGGCCUCGGGGCAAAUUCCUGGGGAAAGGGAGAGGCUAGCGGGUGAGAGAACUCAACUUAAGGGAGUCUUCUGGCUCAGAAUCUCUUUUUGAGGCUCAGAACACAGGUGCUCAAGCCCCACACCUAGAGAUUCUGAGGUGAGGUCAGGGCUCCCGUGUAUCUUUGUUUAAGUCCCACAGGUACGCAGAUUUUCUUGUACUUGUACUCUGUGAUCUGUGCCAUUUGGCAGGAACUAUCAGAAUUUUAAACGUUUAUGCCUUUUGACCUAGUAAUUUCACUUCUAAGAAUUUCCUCUACAGGGAUACGGGUGUACCCUGCGAAAUGAAGAGGCUCUGAAGAUAGGCGAUGCAGCCUUGUUUGUAAUAGCAAAGACUAGAAACAACCCACAUGUGCAGAAAGGUUCUGAUUUUUAAAAACUGUGGUCCGGCCAAACAACGACUGCUCUGGGUCUUUUUUAAAAAGACAGAGGAAGUGCUCUGGGGACUGAUGUGGAACGAUGUCCAAGAUUUAUUUGUGAAGUUAGGAAAAGUAAAGAGGAGGACAGUG